CAAGUAGGGACAAUCUGAUUUCACGUUGCCUUAAGUGCUAUAUUUCACCUUAGGUACUUCAUUUAAAUUGUUAGUAUUCAAUAUUUCGUGCAAACUGUGUAUUUCACGUGUUACUUGUGACUCGACAUACAAAUGUGUCACUUUGUCAGCUCUAGGAAGUGAGAUUAUUUCCUCUCUCUCCGUCUGUCUCUCUCUUGAUUUUCUGCCGUUCUCUUUCGACAUAUCCCUCGCUCUUUGUACUCGUCGAGAGCCGAAGAUCAAAGACGAGCACCGUGAAGCUCCCAGGCCUAAAUUAGAUUCAUGCUUCCUUGAAAGUACAGAGAAAUUGGUAGGAUGAAAACUGAAGGUCAGUGUCAUCUCGCGCUCGACAAAAUGCCGCCUCCAUGCAAGCGGGAUUAGGUCUCGAUGCUAGGGCUCCGGAGAGCAGGGGAACGAGGAGCGAGCGGAGAACGGGCGUCAGGUGGAGAGGGGCUCUUAUCACCCGCGGCCACAUCUGAACUGGUUCUACCUCAGAAACGUGCUCAAAGAAACAUAUUAGACACGGCAGAACAGCAAAUAAGAGCUCACGGCGCUAUUAUAGAUUUAAGAAAUCAAUGCGGUACGUCAAUAAAAUAUUUACAAAGGCAUGUUUUCUGUGUUUUUCUUUUGCAAACGUGCUACAAACAUUCACAUCUGUUUAACAACCAUUCAACAAGCUCUAAUACAUUUCAAACAAACAAACACCAAGAACAUCUUGGCGUUAGCAUAACACGUUGUGACUUUUGCACUAGUUUUUCAAAAGGAUGUAAUUAUUACCUCAACCUUUGGAUAUUAUGUCUACCAUAACACUUAUAAACAGGCAAAUAUUAAAUGCUAUUCAAGCUAACCCUAAAUUAUCAUAGCAGCCUGACACAGAUUGUCGGUGACACUGAGCGCUAGCAUACCUCAAUUGGCGCAUCUUGUGUGUUUUUUUUCCAUGGACACAAAGUAAUUAAAAAGAAUAAGUGGUGGCCAAUAAGCAGGGAAGCAUGUAAUUACGAUGUGUCUGCAGCUGACUGGGCGGCACUAGCUUUAGCGCUUUAGCCUGUGACCUGUGAUGGCUCAACAGACGAAUUAAUUAACGAGUGUGAUCCUCUGCAUUUCAUUACAGGAGCUUCUCAACCCAUCAUUUUAUUCUGCUAUUCAUUUCUAAGAUCUGUCUCACCACAACUGAGCUCUCUCUAUACUGUAGUUAAUGCUAGACCAUCUUGGACUUGCAACAAAUCAGCUACCAGCUAGCUUAAGCUAAUUGUUCGAUACUUGGUGGCUGAUUGACCAGCUAAUAAUCAACUUGGGCUGACUAACGACAUUGUCUGGACCAACUAGCAACCAGAUGAGCUGCUAGGUUUCAAAACAGCUAGCAUCUUAAACUAGAUUGUUUUUAGCAAGAAACGCUCCUGCGGGCUGCUGGGGAUCUGUAGCAUGAGGGCCGGGGAUGACGAUGGCCGAACGCCAGCUUCUUCUGCAUGAUGCCAGCAGGAGACUGGAGGGGAUCUGGCUGGCAGAGCCGCCUGUAAUCGCCGCUUAUUAGCCAUGCUUGUCUGAGGACGUCACCCAGGAGCCCGAGUGGAAGAGGACAGGGACACAUCUGCCAAAACCAACCACAAUCAUCUCACAUGACUACAUGAUACAUCAAACUAGCUGCUCAGGAAGAUGGCUUAGCAAGGUUACUAUAGGUUUGAAGUUUGAUGAUUUUAUCAGUUUGACCUUCCAGCUUAGUCAACUUUCGUUAUAUUUUAUAUAAGAGUCACUCUCAAUCUGUCUGUCUAUAAAGCCUAUAAGAAAACAGUCUUCAUGUAUUUUACAACAGUUCAGCUUGUGAUUCUUAUUAAGUGCGGCUCAUUUUUUAGGAUUCUUUACCUAACCUAAGUCUCUGAGAUCCUGACACCUUGAGUUUCUGGAGACCCCAUGUAGGAUGCAGUUCUGGAAAAUGGUGGUGCUGGAGACUGAAGGGUUCCUGAUGGUUUCACACUUAAUUCUUCACCUUAAUUCUUCAUUCUUUUGCAGUUAACAUGUGUCUUUCUUCUCUGUUUUUGUCUGACCCUGCUGACCCAAUGAGCAUUUUGCUGUCCAUUGGUCAUGCCUUAACUUUGCAAUUUCUAGUAUUGCAUUAGUAUUGCAUUCUUCUCAUGGGCAUUUAAUAAUUUUUGACUUUUCAGUCUGAGUUAAAUCUCUUUUUUGGCUCAUUUUAUCUGUAAAAGAAAACCUGCCUAAUAAUUAUGCACACCUGAAUAUAAGGCAUUUUUCAUUUCCAGCCUUCGCUACUUAUAAAUGAUUAAAUACAAAAUUAUUAGUAGUUAUUAAGAUUGAUGUGGUUUGGAAUUGGUAAAAUGUGCUUGGAAAAAAAUAUGAUUAGAAAAUCAACUUGCAUAAUAAUUAUUC